rnacentral:rRNA from 1 species
CCUACGGGUGGCAGCAGUGAGGAAUAUUGGUCAAUGGCCGGAAGGCUGAACCAGCCAAGUAGCGUGAGGGAAGACUGCCCUAUGGGUUGUAAACCUCUUUUAUGCGGGGAUAAAGGUGGCCACGUGUGGAUGUUUGCAGGUACCGCAUGAAUAAGGAUCGGCUAAUUCCGUGCCAGCAGCCGCGGUAAUACGGAGGGUCCGGGCGUUAUCCGGAUUUAUUGGGUUUAAAGGGAGCGUAGGCGGGUCUUUAAGCGUGCCGUGAAAUUUUGUGGCUCAACCAUGAGAGUGCGGCGCGAACUGGAGGCCUUGAGGUCGCGGGAGGCAGGCGGAAUUCGUGGUGUAGCGGUGAAAUGCUUAGAUAUCACGAAGAACCCCGAUUGCGAAGGCAGCCUGCCGCAGCGUUACUGACGCUGAGGCUCGAAAGCGCGGGUAUCGAACAGGAUUAGAUACCCGUGUAGUC